rnacentral:lncRNA from 1 species
UGGUGGUUCUUAGGUGUUUCUUGUUUGUUUGUUUGUUUGUUUUGAUAAGACCGUUGGUUUUCCUGUUUAAAUGGUUUUACGCUGUCAUUUAAGGGUCCUUUUAACUGUAUACUCAGUGACUGUUGCUGUUCGGUGAUGGUUGAAGGCUGUACUUUGACUUAUAAUUGUUUACUUUUUUUUUAAAUAUACAUUGUGAUUUUGGAUGGAGAGUUGUCUCAUUGGCACUUCUUCCUCAUUUUCUUAUUAAAUUCUCUAGAUUUGGCUACUGGGGAAAAGUUACUUGAAUCAGUUUAAAAUCUCAUAUUUCGUUGCUUAGGAAAUAACGUUUUUUUUCUGUUAAAAUAUUUCAUUGUUCAUUAUGCCUUAACUACAAUAAAGACUAAGCUUUACAUUAAUGUUUGGUUUGCUUUUGCUGCCAUCACGAUCUUAUUCCAUUAAUUCUUUCUGCUUGGUGUUUAAUAUUAUUUAUUUCCACACACAUGUUUUAUUCCAUUUAUUUCCAUACAUGUGUUUUAUGUUUUAUUUAACUGGCAUGCUUUGUGUGCUUUUUUAAAAUUGCUUCUUGGUUUUAUGUUUUUUUUUCCAGUCCUCAAUAAACUGUUCAUUAAUAUUAGUUGGAUGUGUGUUAUGAGUUAGAAAACUCAAUACAAGCU